GGAAGCCGGCGGAAAUCCGGCACGGUCGCGCCGCUGUGACCGGACUCCGUCCGCCCUGAGCGGCGGUGGAGCCCGGAAGUCAGAC
rnacentral:misc_RNA from 1 species